AAAAGAAAAGGGUUGAAGAAUUUUUGAAAAUUGGAGGAGAUUUUAGUUCAUGGGUUGUUCUGCAUUAGUCUAUGAGAGAAUCAUUUAGUUCUCUCUUCAUUGUUUCGAUAACUUUUGAUAAAAAUGCAAAUUGUGAUAUUUUGUUGUGUUGGAAUUAUCAAAUUAUGUUGUGUUCAUAGGUUUCUAUGGUUGUUUCUAUUGUAUGAGAUUGCAUUAUAUUUAUGCUGGAGUUGGGAUUUAGGUUCUUGAGAUCCAAAAUUAUUAAAAAGUAGGAUGAAGUUAUUUGUAGCUUGUUCUGAGUGAGAGAAGGGAAAAAUGUAGCAUGAUAACAGCCAUAAUAGGCGUUCAAUCCUCUGUACUAAUUUAAUUCCCAUUUGUAAACUUAGAUAGUUGUCUCAUUAUGGAGCACAAAAUCCUGUUUGUUAGUGGCAGAGUUACUAACAGCUUGAUGAAAAUGGGGCAAGAGUAUCCUGUAAAUAAGAAUUGGAUUUCAGUUAAAGAGUACUGAUAACAUUAUUUGUUAUUGUAAGGUUACUCUUAAGGAGAACAAGAAUGAUGGGUUCUUUUUCCAGAUGAAUGCUUAGACUCUUAAGAAAUCUGUUCAAGCCAAUACAGGCAUCAUUUAGUAGUAAUAAUUAAAAUUAUUCAUGGUUUUGCUACAUUUUACAUUAGAUUUUCUAGUAAUCCUAUAGAAGUUUCUGAUAUAUGUGUAAAUGAUCGUAUCUGCUUAAUGUCCUUUAACCAGAAACAGGUAUGAAUAUAUUUAUAGGAACCACCUGAAUUCGCAAAUGGCCAACAAUUGGUAAAACCUUGGCAUUUGAUAGAUUAACAAGUUAGGCUAUAAACUUGUUCAGAAAUCAUAAGAAUGUAUCAGGAUAUCUUGAGUGAUGUGUCACUUCACUAGGAAGCAACUUCUGAGAUCAUUUUAUCUCACUUAGGAAAAGUUAAAGUUGCUUUGGGUUUGUGGGAGGGCUCAACUCAAGCAAGCUAACUUCAUUACCAUUAGGCUGCCAUAAUUUUCAUGCAUUGAAGCUACAAUAACUAUAUUUGUUCUGGACAUACAAUAUCCAAAUCUUAGAAUUUCUUUUUCCUAAUCUUUUCUGCUUGGAGUCCUAAUCAACAAUUGUAUCACCUAAUUAUCCUAAUUAACACCCAAUUUAGUUAUGUAAUAUGACUUUGAGCCAGUCCAAGGUAAUAAUUUCUCAUAGCUGAAACACUUAUAAAGAUAAUGUCAAAUACAAAAAUUAAAAGAAAUAGGCUGAAUUGAAAAUCACACAAAAUUUAUACCCUUUUUGGUGAUUGAUGGUAAUUAAAGAUAAGAAUAAAGAAACAAACAUGAACACUCUCUUUGUUAAAUAUUUUACUUCUGCGAAUGUGAACAAGUUAACUCCGAUUCAACUCAGUUGCACUUUUGACCUUUACUUCUAUCCUCAUCUUAGUUCCAAUGAAUGGCCCAUUUUUAAAAUGUUGAUAUAUACUUCAGAAAAGUUGGAGAAUGUCAUGCAUGUGUGCAGGAGGCAGAGAGUUGGUUGUUUAUUUAUUUAUUUUGACUUAAGGUAGGGGAGACAGGAUUAUUAGGAUUUGAGUCCCGCACCCCAAAUCCAACUACUAGGCUAAGAAUUGCUUCAUUUAUAUGAUGUUUGUUGCACUUUUUGAGCAAGAUGUUUAUUGAUCAAAUCUUACCUUUUCUCUUGCAGGUUGAAGGUUAGAUCUUAUAU
rnacentral:misc_RNA from 1 species